UUCAUUAUUGCAUUGCACAUUAUUUUAUUAAUAUUCGUUAUUGUAAAUUUUGUACAGUCAGCUGUAUAAACCAGCUAUUUAUAAACAUAAUUUUCUUCUGUUUUACAAUAUAUUUUUUGGGGCCUUUAAUGUUAUGAGAUCUAUUUUAAUAUUGCUUUAUUUUAUUCAGUUUUUGUUUUGUGCGGAUAAUGAAACAUACAAAUUGAAUAAAAAACUUAAAGCGAGUGUUUGGUGUUUUUCCUGCAGUUAAGUACUUUGCGAUGUGCCUUUUACCACAAGCCCAAACUUUGGUACAAAAUAAAAGACCAGUCAACCAACACAAGGUUCCUGUUAAACUUAAACUUUUUCAGUCAAAUCAUGCGCGGAGAAGUGAAAACGACGGUACAGGACGUCACAAAGUCGGUCUGCAGAAUUCUUGACGAAAAGUCAAAAUACGAGUGUUUUAUCUGACAGCAACAGUACAUGUAGUUACCAUGUUUUUCUGAACAGUUAAAAGGAAAAUGAUAUUUUAAAAUAUUUAAAUUACUGAUUUUAUUCCAUGCAAUAUUUUGAAAGGAACCCAAUCCUUAACACUUUAGCGAGUAAAUAACAUACAAAGGGAAGAUAGUCUUUGCUGAAGAAAGAAGUCAAUAUACGUUUGAUUGACAAUGCAUUGGAUUCCUUAUAACAGAGUCGUAUAAACACCGAGCACUCCAACUGCCGCCUUUGUGUG